rnacentral:rRNA from 1 species
UACGAAGGGUGCAAGCGUUACUCGGAAUUACUGGGCGUAAAGCGCACGUAGGCGGCUUUGUAAGUUAGAGGUGAAAGCCCGGAGCUCAACUCCGGAAUUGCCUUUAAGACUGCAUCGCUAGAAUUGUGGAGAGGUAAGUGGAAUUCCGAGUGUAGAGGUGAAAUUCGUAGAUAUUCGGAAGAACACCAGUGGCGAAGGCGACUUACUGGACACAUAUUGACGCUGAGGUGCGAAAGCGUGGGGAGCAAACAGG